rnacentral:lncRNA from 13 species
AAUCCUUUCUCCAUGUUUGUUCAGGUCCAGUUCCAGCUUUGUAAAGUCCUCCAUCAGACAGAUCUAUGACAGCAGAGACAGUGACUGUGUGUCCAGUUUGUUGAGGUCUUCAGACCAUUGGAUCAACCUGAACAGCAGAGAGCUGGACAGAGUGGACUGUACCGCUCUGUGUUUUACCCUGCAGCACAGCCACCAAGUCAAAGUCAACCUGCUGUGGACCUCCAUACCACCGGGGGAGAUAGAGAGCAUCCUGCCUCUUCUGGACAGAGUCUCCCAACUCAGUGUUGACAGGAGGUUACUGCUGAGUUUCCUCCAGUGCUGUGGUGCCUCUCAGGUCCAGCAGGGGGCACCAUCAUCACCACCAACAGCAGUAUGGCUGCUCAGGUCUCUGCACUACAGACUGGACUUGUCCUGCUCCUCCUCUGUGGACCUGUCAGCUCAGGACCAGGGGGAGGCUCUGUGUCUGACCACUGACCAUUGCAGGGCCAUCAACUCUGUUCUGAAGCAGAACCAACACGGCACCCAGCUGGUUCAGAACCAGGUCCAGAUCAUCCUAAGAGACUGUAAGGUGGAAGACAGAGCACUGAGGGAGCUGCUUCCCAUCCUGAAUAUUGUCAAGCUGAGUCCCAGCAAAGCUCUGCUACUUCAGCUGCUGGACCUUGUGUGUGAGGGGAUUGAAGAGGGGCUGCUGAGGCAUGCAGAGUCCCUGUGCAGAGCCCUGGAUGGGGAGCUGGACCUCAGUGAGACCAGGCUGGACCAGAAGGCCUGUGGAUCUCUGGCCCUGGUUCUGGAACACUCAGAGGGUCUGUCAGAACUGGACCUCAGCCACUGUCAACUCACAGACCACCAGCUACAGCCCCUGAUCGCACACCUGCUUAAAGUACAAGUCCUGAACCUGAGCCACAAUGACAUCACUGAUGCUCUGACUGACAGAAUUCUCCAACUGGUCUCUACCAACACUUCAAUACACACCGUACGACUCUUCAACAACAGAAUCCAGGACAGAAGACCCUUCCUGACAGAUAAGAGGUUUGAGAUCUGGUGAAACAACAUCAGGUCUUAGUUCAGGAAGAGAAGGCUGAAUCCAGGACAGAAGACCCUUCCUGACAGACAAGAGGUUUGACAUCUGGUGAAGAUAAUGCUGUAUAAUGACAGGAUAAUGUGGUCAAUGUAGAAGAUCUGGUGAUGAUAAUGUUGUAUAAUGACACUAUAAUGUGUCAAUGUAGAAGGCUGGUUUGAUAUCUGGUGAUGAUAAUGUUGUAUAAUGACAGGAUAAUGUGGUCAAUGUAGAAGGCUGGUUUGACAUCUGGUGAAGAUAAUGUUGUAUAAUGACAGGAUAAUGUGGAACAUAAACUGAUGGAACAUUUUAAUACAAAAGACACACAACAAACUGGUUGUUCCAGCUGUAACAGUCCGAUCAUGUAUAAACUACAGUCAACAGACUCAUUAAACAGAUUCAGUGGUGCUGGCUACUACUACCGGUACCCCCGGUAUAUUGUCUCCACAUUGACUCUUUACCGUAACACCCUGUAUAUAGCCUCGCUGUUGUUAUUUACUGCUGCUCUUUAAUCAUUUGUUAAUCUUUUCUCUUACUUUUAUUGUGGUAUUUUCUUAAAACUGCAUUGUUGGUUAAGUGCUUGUAAGUACUACACCUGUUNNNNNNNNNNCUACACCUGUAUUCAUGUGACUAAUAAAGUUUGAUUUGAUUAUCAGUUGAUGAUGUCUUUCUUUCCUUUUGUUUCCAUAACAACCAGGCGUUGGAAAUUAGCUCAGGCUAGAAACACUACAGCACAUCUCACGACUGUUAAAUGUGUUGGUACUCGUCUAUUUCUAAAUAAAACAAAACUUAAAACGUUUUAAGUCUUCCUUUUCUGAUAUCAAAACAGAAAAACCUCCCAAAUGUUUACAUUUUUUUGACUGUGUAAAUAAUUUNNNNNNNNNNAAUCCAGGACAGAAGACCCUUCCUGACAGACAAGAGGUUUGACAUCUGGUGAAGAUAAUGCUGUAUAAUGACAGGAUAAUGUGGUCAAUGUAGAAGAUCUGGUGAUGAUAAUGUUGUAUAAUGACACUAUAAUGUGUCAAUGUAGAAGGCUGGUUUGAUAUCUGGUGAUGAUAAUGUUGUAUAAUGACAGGAUAAUGUGGUCAAUGUAGAAGGCUGGUUUGACAUCUGGUGAAGAUAAUGUUGUAUAAUGACAGGAUAAUGUGGAACAUAAACUGAUGGAACAUUUUAAUACAAAAGACACACAACAAACUGGUUGUUCCAGCUGUAACAGUCCGAUCAUGUAUAAACUACAGUCAACAGACUCAUUAAACAGAUUCAGUGGUGCUGGCUACUACUACCGGUACCCCCGGUAUAUUGUCUCCACAUUGACUCUUUACCGUAACACCCUGUAUAUAGCCUCGCUGUUGUUAUUUACUGCUGCUCUUUAAUCAUUUGUUAAUCUUUUCUCUUACUUUUAUUGUGGUAUUUUCUUAAAACUGCAUUGUUGGUUAAGUGCUUGUAAGUACUACACCUGUUCUAUUCAUCAUUUCACUGUAAGGUUCUACACCUGUAUUCAUGUGACUAAUAAAGUUUGAUUUGAUUAUCAGUUGAUGAUGUCUUUCUUUCCUUUUGUUUCCAUAACAACCAGGCGUUGGAAAUUAGCUCAGGCUAGAAACACUACAGCACAUCUCACGACUGUUAAAUGUGUUGGUACUCGUCUAUUUCUAAAUAAAACAAAACUUAAAACGUUUUAAGUCUUCCUUUUCUGAUAUCAAAACAGAAAAACCUCCCAAAUGUUUACAUUUUUUUGACUGUGUAAAUAAUUUAUGAAUAUUUUGUUUUUUGUGUUUUUCAUAAAUGUCCCAUGAGGCACAUGAUUGGUGUUUGUCACUGUGUUUUCUCUAAAGGUUGAAAUCAUUACUAGUAAAUACUAAAUAAAGUUAUUGCUGGUAUGAACGCGAUCCCACCCCAAAUGUGUUUCUUUUCAUGACGAUGUAAAAGUUGUUUGUUGAAGACAUCUCCUCCUCUGAUAGGCAGAACUCGGGAAAGCCGG